rnacentral:rRNA from 1 species
AGCAGCCGCGGUAAUUCCAGCUCCAAUAGCGUAUAUUAAAGUUGUUGCAGUUAAAAAGCUCGUAGUUGAAUUUCGGGGUUAGUAGGUUGGUCAUGCCUCUGGUAUGUACUGGUCUCACUGAUUCCUCCUUCCUGAUGAGCCGUAAUGCCAUUAAUUUGGUGUUGCGGGGAAUUUGGACUGUUACUUUGAAAAAAUUAGAGUGUUUAAAGCAGGCUUACGCUUGAAUACAUUAGCAUGGAAUAAUGAAAUAGGACGUUUGAUUCUAUUUUGUUGGUUUCUAGGAUUGACGUAAUGAUUAAUAGGGAUAGUUGGGGGCAUUAGUAUUCAAUUGUCAGAGGUGAAAUUCUUGGAUUUAUUGAAGACUAACUACUGCGAAAGCAUUUGCCAAGGAUGUUUUCAUUAAUCAAGAACGAAAGUUAGGGGAUCGAAGACGAUCAGAUACCGUCGUAGUCUUAACCAUAAACUAUGCCGACUAGGGAUCGGAUGAUGUUAAUUUUUAAUGACUCAUUCGGCGCCUUAA